UCCGCGCUGGCAGCAUCUCCUUCUCUCGCUGAGGCUAAUGACACUAGUUAGACAGUUCGGCGGGUUCCUGUUUCGUUCGAAAGUGUCUAAAGUGAAGUGGCCAACCAAAAAGAACAAACGGAAUUAAAAUUAGCAUGAAAACUCGAUCAAUCAUGUGGCGACGACGGACGACUACUAUGAUCCCACCGAGUGUACCUUCCAUCAUCAUCAUAGUCACCAUCGGUGUACUGUGUACCGGCGUGAGAGCGUUUGAUGUGCUUUUCGGUUACAACCAAAGUGAAUACUGGCAGAUGCCUCAGCUGCAGGUAUACGACAGUAUGGAGAACUGUCUCCACAAUCAGCCAACGGGUGUGUUUUGCGUGACGAAAGUGGCCAUCAAACCGGACAGCCGGUCGACAGUUUGGAGACUCAUCAAGAAAUACUCCAAAUAUACCUUCCAGUAUAAUCACGAUGUGCUGACACGUGGUGUGUGCGUCGACAAGUGUGCUCGCGAGAUGGAACAACUCACUGUGUCCGGUGUACCGGUGGAUCGGUUUUAUGAGCCAAAGUUUAAUAUCACCAAAAGGUUCAUUAUGCCCGAUUGGUUGCUUCCGAAUGUGACGCAUUACCGGAAAUCGUUCGGUCGCCUGGUGAACGUUUGCCAAAAUUAUGCCCUUCGAACCCAGUACAACCUGAGCGGUUACAUCGAGAUUGAAGAGUGUACCACGAAUGAUACGCUUGUGAGACCUAUGGAUGCAUACGAUAUCGCAUACAUAACACUGCUUGUGGUGCUGGUUCUAGUGACGAUAGGAUCUCAAUGCUACGAUUGCCGCUUAGCUCGAGCGUCCUCAGAUGAAGACCAUUACAGGCGUCCCCUUAAAAGGCGUGUCGAUACAGUGUUGACGGCAUUCUCGCUGCGCCGGAAUUGGGCCGCGUUGACGCGCAAAUCGUGUAGGGCACAGUACCAGCAGGAUCUGUACUUUAUCGACCAGCUACGCGUGUUGACGAUGAGCGUCAUACUGCUGCUGCACGUGUUCAUCGGCAUGUGCAUGUUUACCGCUCAGAAUCCACUGGCAAUGGAGCAGUUCUCAGCACAUCCGGUUUCGCAGAUGCUUUUCUCGCUUGUCCCCGCACAGGUCGAUAUGUUUUUCAGCAUCAGCGGGUUACUGAUGGCGGUACAGUUCUUGCAGCACACCGAGAACAAGCGCUUUCAGUUCAGUAUCCUCUGGCAGGGACUCGUAAAUCGCUACCUUAGAUCUUUGCCCGUGUACGCGGUGCUUAUGCUGUUCACCGUGUCCCGCUAUGACACCUACCUGACGACCCCUUCCGGCUACAAGAUCCUUCCGAAAAUGCGCCUCAUCUGUCGACAGAAGUGGUGGAUCAACUUUCUAUACAUCAACAAUUACUAUCAACCGGAGGAACAGUGUCUGAUCCACACCUGGUACCUGGCGGCCGAUUUCCAGCUCUUCGUCGUGGGUCUCUGCGUCAUGACGGCCCUGUGGCGGUUCCCUAAGGCCACAUUCUGGGCGGCGACGGGCCUGGGGAUGGCUGGAUUUGUGCUACCGAUGCUCAAUACCUACCUGCAUGCCCUCGAUGCCAUGAUGCCGCUUACUAUGAAAGGCAGCGAAUACCAGCUUUGGUAUGAUGAAUACUUUGUCAAGUCUUACCAGGCGACGGAGAUGCACUGCGCCAGUUACUUUGCCGGUAUGAUCGCUGGCCUGCUGUACCAUCGAAUCGCACGCAAAGAGUUAACGCUACCGCUCAGCACGCUACGCAUCGUGUUCAGCCUGGGUUCGAUCGUAAUCGCUGGUUUUGCACUGCAGGCGCCCCUUUACAAUAUGAUCAACUUCACGAAACCGUCCGCCUGGAUGGCACUACUUUCCGGGGUGCACAAGGUGUCGAUCGGUGCCUUCUACUCGACGACCUUCCUGCUGCUCACCUUCCAUCACCUCAACACGCCUCUAGGGCGUUGGUUCGCGGGUAACACACUGAGCAGAGUGCUGGCACGGUUAGGAUUCGGAUUCUAUUUAAUGCAGAUGACCGUGCUGAAGAUCGUAUUCGCCAACUAUCCCGAGGAUACGCGCAUCAAUGUGCAACUGAUCAUAUCAACCUACUGCUCAACGUUCGUGCUGUCGUACGCCAUCGCGCUCGUAGCGUUUCUGCUGGUGGAAAAACCGUUCGAUGUUUUGCUCAAACUGCUGCUCGGUAAUGGUGGAACAAAACGGAAACCACCGGCGGUAGUGUCCACAUCGGGUAAAGCUGCGAAUAGAGAAGUCGCGAUACCAACGAUCAUGAAUGCCGCGAACGUGAAGCCAGCUGGAUUGGAGGAACGUUGUUAAUGGCGUAGCUGAGGCGAUGAAUUCUAACUUCUAGCAUCUAGGAAUUGGAUUAAAAUAUGUUGAUUUCAUACGUUCGCGACUCGGUUUGUCACUUUUUGGGGAACCUGCGUAUCGAGAUCAAUAAAACAUAAUUAAGUCAUAGCCAGAGCAUACAUUCUCCUGCUCCCGUUCACAUCCUUACGAAGCAAUCGUUUACAGAUGGCUGCAAUCGGAAACUCAACCAGAACGGCCAACACAAACGCGGACACAUAACACCAGAUCCACCCAGAAGCAACCACCUCGACCUAGAACGAGUAACCGAGGUAUUGCAUAAUUAG